rnacentral:rRNA from 1 species
CGUUGAGGCGGUUUCGUAAGUUGGACGUUAAAGCCCCGAGCUCAACUCGGGGAGGUCGUUCAAUACUGCGAGACUUGAGGACAGCAGAGGGGGGUGGAAUUUCCGGUGUAGUGGUGAAAUGCGUAGAUAUCGGAAGGAACACCAGUGGCGAAGGCGGCCCCCCUGGGCUGUUCCUGACGCUGAAGGCGAAAGCUAGGGGAGCGAACG